rnacentral:rRNA from 1 species
UACGGAGGGUGCAAGCGUUAUCCGGAUUCACUGGGUUUAAAGGGUGCGUAGGAGGGCAGGUAAGUCAGUGGUGAAAUCCCCGAGCUUAACUUGGGAACUGCCGUUGAUACUAUCUGUCUUGAAUGCUGUGGAGGUGAGCGGAAUAUGUCAUGUAGCGGUGAAAUGCUUAGAUAUGACAUAGAACACCUAUUGCGAAGGCAGCUUACUACGCAGAUAUUGACGCUCAUGCACGAAAGCGUGGGGAUCAAACAGG